GAUCCUGGUUCAGGAUGAACGCUAGCUACAGGCUUAACACAUGCAAGUCGAGGGGAAACGACAUCGAAAGCUUGCUUUUGAUGGGCGUCGACCGGCGCACGGGUGAGUAACGCGCAUCCAACCUGCCCAUCACUUGGGAAUAACCUUGCGAAAGUAAGACUAAUGCCCAAUGAUAUCCCACGAAGGCAUCCGAAUGGGAUUAAAGAUUUAUCGGUGAUGGAUGGGGAUGCGU
rnacentral:rRNA from 1 species